rnacentral:lncRNA from 1 species
AAUGCAUUCAUGAUGGCCUGAGAUACAGCAACUUAAACCAUGCACAAGCUGCCCCUCUCUCAGACACCCCCCUUCACUCACCAACACCAGGAGUUCCAGCUGACAGCCUGAUGAGUCCCAGUUGACAGCAGCAGCAACUGCCAGCCAUGUGAAUGACCGUCUUGACCAUCCUGUCCAAUCAAUUCUAGAAAUGGCAUCUGUUUCCAGCUAACACCUGAUUCCUGCUGACAUCUGAUUGCAAAUACAUGAGCUGCUCCAAGAAAUAACUUCCUGAUCGAGACAUUUCCUAAAUCCUGAUCCACAUUAUUGUGAGAAAAAUUAAAUAGUUGUUUUAAUUGACUAAAUUCUGUGUCACUUCACUAGAAGACUAUUUCAUGUUU